CUCUUUCUAAGUUUUAGGCAUUUCCUUUCAUUUUGGUGUACCAACUAGCUUUGUCUCCUGCCAAAAUGAUAAAGAACUGAGCAGCUGCGCUGUAUUGAACUGAAAACAGAGAGUGGGUUCAUUGAUGCUACUUUAUCCCCAUUACAGAUAAUUAUACCACAUCAAUCUUUAUAGAGAUUUAGGAUAGGAGAAUAUUUUUUGAGAUAUUCUACAAAGAUUUUACCAGGUGAAGAAAUUCCUGGUAUCUAUCAACUAUAAGUCAUCUAAUUGGGUUGCUUGAGGGAUUUUUUAGUCUGCCUGCUGUAUUAUCUAUUAUUAGUUAGAAGUGUUCUCCGUUGGUUUGAUAUUUCUCAAUUAAAUGUCAUGUCAGCUUUAUCCAAUGCUUUCCGUGUAACUAUAUAGUUUUAAGUGGGGAGACUCAUUCCAAGCCAUCCAUCUUGAAAUUAUAAAGUAAAUGUGGACACCAUAUGAUUCUAAGUUUUUCCUGGUAUCUCGACAGAUAUGUAGAGCUCUAGCCUACAUUCAUGGAGGAAUAGGAGUAUGCCACAGGGAUAUUAAGCCACAAAAUCUACUGGUUUGCUUUAAAAACUUUGAAUUUUUUUGUUCUAGUGGUUACUUGGAAGCUACUUGCUGAUAGAAUUGUUGUUCAGGUCAAUCCCCAUACUCAUCAGGUCAAGCUCUGCGAUUUUGGAAGUGCAAAAGUUCUGGUAGGGCUUUCGUUUUGUGUCUUAUCUCUUGAUAUUGCAAAAGUAUUUUUAGAAGUAAAUCUACUAUGUUGCCUUUAUUUCUCGUUUUUGCAUGAUGCUUAUAAAACAGGUUAAAAUACACUAUCUAUUUGUGUCUUCCUUAUCGUUCGUUUUUAACAGGUGAAAGGCGAGCCAAAUAUAUCAUAUAUUUGUUCUCGUUAUUAUCGAGCACCUGAACUAAUAUUUGGGGCUACUGAAUACACUACCGCAAUUGAUAUAUGGUCUGCAGGCUGCGUUCUUGCUGAGUUACUUCUUGGACAGGUUCCCUUCUAAAUUUACAAUCCCCUCUUUUCUCAUUCUAUGGAAAGCGAGGAAAUAUCAGAAUAUUUUCUUUUCCUCUCUUCCUAUCUCUGUUUCUCUUAUUGGCUUUCUCAAUUUUGUAGCCUCUCUUUCCUGGUGAGAGUGGCGUGGAUCAGCUUGUUGAGAUAAUUAAGGUUAGUUACCUGACUCUUUCCUGUAGAGAAUAAGUUGCUAUUUUCUAAACUAAACUUCCUGUUUUAUUUCUGUUUUGUUGAACUGGUCUCUCUUUGAUUAGGUACUUGGGACUCCUACCCGUGAAGAAAUCAAAUGUAUGAACCCAAAUUAUACUGAGUUUAAAUUCCCACAAAUCAAGGCACAUCCCUGGCACAAGGUACGUACGUUUGUUUUCAAACUUACAGCACUUACUCUUUGUGUUUGUGGCUUGCUAAUUUUCCUUUUCCCUGCAGAUAUUUCACAAGCGCAUGCCACCAGAAGCAGUGGAUCUUGUCUCAAGACUCCUCCAGUAUUCUCCAAAUCUUAGAUGCACUGCUGUAAGUGUUUUUCUUUCCCCAUGCACUACCUCCUCACGGUGAUUAUAUCCUUGAACCAGCAGGUUGUAUCAAUAAGAGCCAUAAACUAAUAUACACUUUCACAGGUGAUUAUUUAAAAUAUUUAGGAGCGGUUUAUAACUAUUUUCAGUUGAUUCCAUUUAAAAUCAACUUAAAACUACCUAAACAAUUUUGUUCUUCUGAGGAGGAGGAAGAAGAGGAGAUGACCACUUAAUAUUAAUGGAAACCACUAGUUUUCCCCUUCUAGCACAAGAAAUAGAAGUAAUUUUAGGAUUUGAACCACUUAAUAUUAAUGGAAACCACUACUAUGAAAAUUGCUACUAUCUACUUAUUCUAGUAUUUAUCUCUAAUAAUAUGUUGCUGCUGAGCUAUUUCUUAAUUGAUGUACGUUUUAAAAUAUUUUGUUUUAACUGAAACAAUUUUUAGUUUAAGAUUUUACACUUAGACUAUGAAAACUGCUACUAUCUACUUGAUUCUAGUAUUUAUCUCUAAUAUUAUAUUCAUGUUUAGCUAUGUCUAAAUUGAUGUACGUUUUAAAUUGUUUUAAUUGAAACAAUUUUUAGUCUAAGAUUUUAAUUGAUUCAACUAGGAAAGUUUAGGAAUAUAGAUGAAGUUAAGACUUGAUUAAAUUUAUUCAAGUGGUAUUCUUAACCCAAACAUUUCUGCUGUGAAAUGUUGGCCGGUUAGUAUUAGUUUCAACAGUAUCAUUUUUGUGAAGUUCUCAGAGGCAUUGUUCUCUCCCUUGUUUUUUCACUAUAAGAGUACGUCUAGCAGGUUCACGCUCUUAAAAUUCUAGAGUUGGUUUCAAAGAUAAAUUUAAAAAUAUGUAUAUACAUCCGUUCUGAAACUAGUAUUUGGUAACUUUUCAAAGUUUAAGGUAAUUGUACACUUGGAAUCACCGUUCACAAGUUCGUUGAUUUGAAUAGUAAAGACAAUUUGAAAGAAAAAUAGCAAAGCAUGUCUUGAUUGAAAUUUUGAUAUUGAUUAUCUUAAUUUCAUUCACUGCAACUGCAAAUCGCAGUAAAUAUCCAUACUAUUCAUUUCUCAUCAUUCUAAUGUCAAUGUAUAUGUAUUUACAAACACUACAGUUAGAGGCUUGCAUCCAUCCUUUCUUUGAUGAGCUCCGGGAUCCCAAUACUCGUCUUCCGAAUGGGCGUCCCCUGCCUCCUCUCUUCAACUUCAAACCCCAAGGUUUUGUUUCUUCCCACUCAUUUCACUGUUAGUUUUAUAGUACUUUAAACUUAACUUUUUGCAUUGAGUCCUUGAACCUCCUGGAAAUAUGGCCAUUUUUUCAGUAAACUUGUGCGCCAUGUUAAGCAAACAAACUUACUCCUUGAAUCGAAAAUCAAUGAAAGUUUAAUUAUUUGUUGGUUUUCUAUGUCCUAGUCACUUGAUGGAUUGAAUUUUGCUACAUCCACUUGCCAACAUUUUGUUUUUGAAAAUCGUGUUUUUUGUCUUCAAGGGUACUUAUCACCUCUCUAGAAACCUAUUAUGAGCAUAUCUUGAUGAUGACUUGCUGUAUAAAUUACCAAGUAUCGUACGCCAGUAUUAGCUUUUUUUCUUCCCUAGAAAGUUAAUAAGAAAACAGUGAAACUCAUAAACAGAAGUAUUUAUUUAAUUUUUAGAGAAAAAAGUCAAAAUGAUUAUCAUACACCUGGCCGCACAGAAUAAGAAGUUUAAUGGUGAAAAUGUGACCGAAACUAAAUUGCAGAAAUAAAAAGUUACGUUUAAUCUAUUAUUAGUUAUGAGCAUUGCAUACGAUUUGGUGUAGAAGUUGCUGAAAUUAGAAACUGUUGGCAUGAAAUCUGCAGAGCUAAAGGGUGCAACUUUGGAGCUUCUCUCUAAACUCAUACCAGAACAUGCUCGGAAGCAGUGUUCUUUCCUUGAUUUUUAGAUCAAAACACAAAGUCGAUGUUAUUUUCCUCGUCGGAUUCAGGCAGGUAUGAACAUCCUUGAAAAUGUAAUUGUAUGUUUUGAUCAUCAAUUGUAAUCUAUUUUAUUUGAAAAAAAAAGAAUAUUAUGGGAGCUUAACGCUGCUGGUUGUUGAUGUGGGUUGAAGGAAUGUUGCUAUUGAAAUAACUAUUCACUACGAUUAUUACUUCUCUCUAUCACUCUCUCUCUCUCAAAAGUACUUUUUGACUGCUUCUUUGUCGUCAUUUGAAUUAGAAUACUGCUUCCUCUAGUGGAUGAUUCUGGUAGAUGACUCGUUUUUAAAAGGGAAGGAAUAUUUGAACGUAUGAGGUUGGUCAAUGGUGUUGAGAUAAACACAAUGAGGAGCUCUUGGUUGUGUUUCGAGUUAUUUUUUACUAAGUUGAUGAUGAGGGAGAAUAUAUAGGAAAUAAUAAACAUACUAGAAAAUGUGGAUUUGAAAAAUUAGUAUUAUAGUUAUUUACCGGUUAUAAUAAUUAACAACAUCAACUUUUAUUAUUGGAAGCUUAAACAAUGAGUGAGCUAACUCAAUUAAGUUGGGGGACCGAACGACACCUAUGCUUAUUUUGUUAUAUUAAAAUAAUAAUAAAGGGCUCUUUUUGUAUAUAACAAAAUAAACAAAAUGUUUACAAAUAUAUCAAAAUAUCAUUGUUUAUGAGUAACCGACACUAGUAAACGCAUUGAUAGAUGUUUAUCACUUAUAAUUGUGAUAUUUUACUAUGUUUAUAAAUAUUUUUAGUUUUUUUUUAUUUAAAACAAUUACCCUCGCCAAUAUGAGAAAAAGUAGAUAUGUUGUUAAUUAUACGCCUACAUAAAAGACAGGAAUAAUGGGAUUGUGGUUGAUAAAAUUCUAUUAACGACAAACUAUUAGAGAUCAAUAGAUUUCACUAACACAACUUUUAUCUCUUAUAUAUAUAUAUAUAUUAUAAAAUUCAAAUAAACAUUUGCUCUCCAUUUUAUCACUUUGUUCCUCCAAAUUUGUUUUCUCAACUUCCUUCAUUGAUAGCCUAACAAAAUAUUGAAAAGUAAUUUGAUGCAAUCCUUUCUAAAGCAACCAUACAAAUUAUAACCUACUACUUAACUAUCUACAAUUAAAGUUUAAAUGCAUGUAAUAAACAUUUAUAUGUAACUUGAUAGAUUUCUACGUGUUGACGUGAAGUCUAGCAUUUUCUAUCGCCAUCGAUGAGUUAGUCUAAAUUUAUCAAUACUAUAUUUUUUGUUGUUGUUGAUAGAAGUUUAUGAUUGUACCAGACUAUUACUAUCUAUAACAAAACCUAUUGAGGACGAACUUUAUUGUUGAUCGAGUCUUAUUGUUAUAAAAUUUAAAAAAUUAUCUAAAUCUUGUCACAUUUGCAUUUUUUUUAUCUAACGACUACAUACUUUAUAUAUAGAUUUAUAAAUACUUUGAUUUAUUUUAGUAUAUUAGAAAAUUAUCAUAAUAUAAAAGUAAAUCUAGGUGAACAAAAAAAAAUAAUUUUAUAAAUAUUUUUGAUAUUUUAUUAUUUUUAUAAAGAAAAAGGAUCGAGUAGAAAUUUUGAUAAAAUAUACUUAUACCUUAUAAUAAAAUAAGGUAUAAUAAAUUUUGUUUUCUAGUUAUUUGUUAGUAUAAAUAGUUUGCUUUUUUUUUUUUAUACUUUUGCAAAAUCUCCUUCAAAAUUUUAGAACGAAACUAAGGAUGAAAUUUGUUACAUUAAUAUGUUUUAAAAUGUUAUAUUUUUAAUAAUAAUUUUUUUUUGUCAAUUUUUAUCAAUUAUAAUAAAAAUAAUUAUUCUAUUUAAUAAAUAUUUUAUUAUAUUUAAAAAUUAAUCGGUUAAACAGAGGAAGAUAAAAUAGAAUAUUUUUUUUUCUUUUAAUUGUAAAAUAUAGUCCGUGACAUAAAUAAAUAAAUAAAUAUUUAUGUACACUCUGACAAAGUAGGCCCUACUUUAAUUAUAUUAUAUAUUUAAAAGUUAAAAAUUUUAUUUAAAAGAAUAAAAUAAUUAUCAAACAAAACAUAACUCAACCAUAACAAAAACAUAACUCAACCAAACUAAAACUAAAGUUGUAGAGAUCAAAGUGGAGCAUAUGUACUCUUCUAGUUAGAGUGAGAAAGUGAAAUAACCAAUCCGGAGAUUCUCCGCCGGAAGACGCCAAUUUCCCCCCCUUCUUCUUCUCCGACGCUUCUAUAAAUGAUUCUCUGAUUCUCUCCGGCGACCAUCUCUCUUCGCUUCUCCACUUUUUGAAGCGUUAUAGAGAGAUUCAUCGCAUUGUAAUUCCGCAUUUCUCUGUCUUAAUUUCAUCUAAGGAACCUCAUUUUUUGUUAGGUAUGAUAUCAUUUUUCUUCUUUUAUUGUCUCUCUAUUGCUGGUUUCUGAAUUCUCUAGAUCUAGUAAUUUUAAUUUUAAUUUUGUAAUUUGUGUCUCUUUUUGCCUUUUGACUGACUUGUAAUUUGUGCGUUUUGAUUGCUCGUAAGAAGUGGGAACGAAGUUUGAAUUCGCUCUGCAUGUGAGAUUUAUCUGAUGCUUGGGAAAUGAGGCGCAUGCUCGUGUUUUUUUCUUAAUUUCUGCUGGAAAUUUAUACGUUUGAUUUGUUGGGGCUGGGGUAGGGAAGAUGGAGAGUCUUUUCUAGGGGGAGAAGAAAGUGGAAAUCAAAAAGGGAGAAAUGACGGGAGUUUUUUUUUAUUAUUAUUAUUUAUACUUACACAAAUAAGUUUAAUUAAAAUAAGGGAAAUAUUAGACAUUUUAACCCUAACUUGGCAAGGUGGUGUUAUUUUCUCGUAUACUUUAAGAAGUGUUGAGGCAGGCAUGUUCUGUGGUAGAAAUCAUUGGAAAGAAAUGUACUUCCAAUGGAUUAUAAAACAUAUAUUUGGUAAACAAUUCAUCGGAUUUAGAUAUGUGCCACAUAGUGGAAUUUAUAAUUUUUGGUGGAGUUAUUUAGGUCUUGUUUGGUAGUCAUUUCAUUUUUUGUUUUUGGUUUUUGUAAAUGAAGUCUAUUUUCAUUCUUCGUCUUAUUGUGACUUGUAUCAAUCUUAAGUAGGAGAGUCUUAUCUAAAAAAUCAAUCUCAAUCAAAUUAAAAGGAAAACAUUUUUUCUAAAAACAUUUUUUUUUGUUUCCAAAAUUUGAUUUGUUUUCUAAAAACAUGGGUAAAAAUUAGAUACCAAAGCAAGAGAUUUAGAAGAGGAAGAAGUUUUUAUAGACUUAAUUUUCAAAAACCAUAAAUAAAAAACAAAAUGGUUAUCCGACAAAGUCUUAAUAGUUGGUUUUGCGCAUUUACAAAAAUUUAAUGUUGUGCAAUACUUUAUAUUGUUUUAAUUCGGGGGUUUUUGGAUAUUAUUGUUGUUAAACUAAUGGGUGAAUUUGUAGAAUUUGAGAGGAAGUAAAAUUUACAACAGUUGUGUAAAUUUUGGGUCCAAAUUGAUCAAAAUAAAAGUUUAGGGUGAAAAUUGAUGUAACUUUUAGGAGAAUUGAAAGAGAAUAAUUUAUUUUAAUCAAUUUCAAUGAACAUACCGUUUUUCUAGUGUACUCUCAAAUACAGCUUGUUUGAUGCUUGUAUCUCUCGCUUCUCAGUUUUUAGUUGUAUUUGUUUGCAGCUUCAAGGCCCUAUCUACACCAAAUCGUAGUCCACCAGAACACAAGGAUGGUAUGAUUGUUUUUUACUUUGUAAAAGAAGUUUACAUCCUCAAUCACAGUGUGUGAGAGACAUGGUCUGUAUGAGUAUAAAUAUGCAGUAAUAUUUCUCUCUUUUACUUUGGAAAACUAUUACUCUUUGGUGGUUCCCCCACGAGUCCAACACUUUUUGGCAUAGGACUAUUGCUCACAAGUAUGAUCCUCCUCCUUUUGAGUGGCCAUGGGGAUAUUUGUAGUAAGUUCCCCUCUUUUCUCACUUUUUCCAUUGUGUAGUGGGAAAGACGAAACAUGUUUUUUAGAAGAUCACAAUGGGAUGUUUUGGUGACUUUUUUUAGCUAAUCGAGGACUGGGAGCUUGCUUUCCAUCACUUUUGGGUUCAGUCGCUCAUUGUUUGAUAGGAGAGUGACAAAGAUUGUCUCUCUUUUGUCUUUGAUUGAGGAGUUUGUUUUUAGGCAUGGGAUAAAGGACUUUCGUGUUUGGAGGCUUUGGAGGGAUUCUCUUGUCAAUUCUUCUUUUGUUGUUUGAUGAACCCAUCUCUUGCUGGCGAGUUUGUCUUUUUUGCUUUUUGGAAUAUAAAGAUCUCAAAGAAAGUCAUGUUCUUGACCUGACAAGCCUAACAUGAAUGAGUUAAUCCUUUGGAUCGGCUUUCAAGAAGUUGAUAGACCCCCCUAUCAUACAUCAAUAUAGUAGAAGGAAGAAGAAGGGUGAACUGACCGAAUCAUACCACCAUGAGUGAGAAAAUGACUGAAUCCAAUGUGCGAGAGACAUUGGCGAUGAAACAAAUGGAGGAGAAGGAUCGACAAGCAAAGAAAACGAUAGUGAAGCAAAGGAGAAGAAAACUGAAGAAGAAGAUGGAAAUAAUGAAUGGAAUAAGUUCAAGAAAGUAUAGAUGUCGGUAUUCAACGGUGAAGAUCCUGAUUCUUGGCUUUUCCGUUCAGAUAGGUAUUUCCAGAUUCACAAGUUGAUUGAUGCGAAGAAGGUGUUGGUUGCGACCAUUAGCUUCAAAGGCCCAACGUUGAAUUGGUAUCGAGCAUAAGAAGAACGUGACAAGUUCACGAGUUGGGUGAACCUCAAGGAAAGAUUACUCGUUCGAUUUCGACCAGUAAGGGAAGGAUUGAUAUGUAGACAAUUCUUGAGAUCGGGCAAGAAACAACGGUGGAGGAAUAUCGUAACAAAUCCAAUAGAUUGAUGGCGCUGUUAGCGGAUUUACAAGAUAGAGUGGUGGAAGAAACUUUUAUGAAUGACUUGUUCCCAUGGAUUAAAGCGGAGGUUGAUUUCUGCCAUCCGAUCGGUGUAGCCCAAAUGAUGCAGUUGGCUCAACUCGUGGUAAACCGGGAGAUUAUCUACAAUGAAGCUAAUCUUAAGGGAUACACUGGAGGUAAGUACCCUGCUCAAAACUCUUUUAAUACUAAGAGUAAUGUGACGGCUAAUUCCAGUGAUAAUAAGGGGAAUACGAUCUUUUCGAUGAGAACGAUCACUCUAAGAAUAGUGUCUGGAGAAGUUAAGAAAGAAGGGCAGUCGAAAUGAUUGUUGGAUGCAGAAUUUCGGGCGAGGAAGGAGAAAUGGCUCUGUUUCCGUUGUAAUGAGAAGUACUCUCAUGAUCACCGGUGCAAGAACGGAGAACAAAGCAAGUUGAGCAUGUAUGUGGUCAAGGCUAAUGAUGAAGAAUUUGAGUUUGUAGAAGAAGUAGAAAAUGAUGACAAGGAAUUGAAUUGUGUAGAGGUAGCAAACGCCAUUAUUGAGCUGUCAAUCAAUUCGGUGGUGGGACUAACCAACCCAGGGACAAUGAAGGUGAGAGGGAAGAUUGGCGAUAGAGAAGUUAUCAUCCUAAUUGAUUGUGGAGUGACGCAUAAUUCAUCUCAGAAAAGAUAGUGAAGGAAUUACAAUUGGGCAUGAAGUCAACAUCUCAUUGUGGUGUAAUUUUGGGCUCGAGUGCGGCAGUGAAAGGCAAGGGAGUAUGUGAAUAUGUGGAAAUCAAAUUAAACGGAUGGAAGGUGGUAGCGAAUUUCUUACCCUUGGAGUUGGUUAGGGGUAGAUGUAGUGUUGGGGAUGCAAUGGUUGUACUCUCUUGGGAUGACUGGAGUUGAUUGGAAAAAUUUGUCAAUGACAUUUUUGCAUAAGGGGAAGAAGGUAGUGAUCAAAGGGGACCAAAGCCUAACGCAAUCUAGAGUGAGUCUCAAGAAUAUGAUUAAGACAUGGAAGGAUUCUGAUCAGGGGUUUCUAAUUGAGUGUAGAUCAAUGGAGAGAGUCCAUGAACCAGCUAAAGAUGAUGGAAUUGAAGAAGUUUUAACAGUAGAAGAAUCGGUGUCUGUGGUCUUAAAGAAGUUUGAAGAUGUAUUUACUUGGUCAGAGACACUUCCUCCGCGAAGAGAUAUUGAGCAUCACACUUACCUGAAGCAAGGUACCAAUCCAAUGAAUGUGCACCCUUAUCGUUAUGCUUAUUAGCAGAAGGCCAAAAUGGAGAAACUUGUUGAUGAAAUGUUAACCUCAGGGGUAAUCCGUCCUAGUAAUAGGACCAGUUCUGUUAGUCAGGAAGAAAGACGAAAGGUGGCGUUUUUGUGUAGACUACAGAGCAUUGAACAAUGUAACUAUACCGGACAAGUUCCCCAUUCUUGUUAUUGAGGAACUAUUUGAUGAGUUGAGUGGAGCAAGGUAGUUCUCAAAGAUCGAUUUAAAGGCCGGCUACCAUUAAAUUAGGAUGUGUGGAGAAGACAUUAAGAAAACGGCCUUCCGCACUCAUGAUGGGCACUACGAAUUCAUGGUCAUGCCAUUUGGUUUGACUAAUGCCCCACCACAUUUCAAUCGUUAAUGAAUUCAAUUUUCAGGCCUUACUUGAGAAAGUUCAUACUAGUAUUCUUUGAUGACAUUCUGAUCUAUAGUGGGAAUUUGGAGGCUCAAUUGAAGUAUCUUGGGGUGGCACUAGAAAUAUUAAAGAAGAAUGAGUUAUAUGCCAAAGAAAUGUAGUUUUGCAAAGGAGAGGGUGGAUUGUUUCAGACAUAUUAUCUUGGGUCAUGGAGUGGAGGUUGAUCCUAAGAAGAUUAGAGCCAUCAAAGAAUGACCUAUGACAAUGAAUGUG
rnacentral:lncRNA from 1 species